AUUGAACGCUGGCGGCAGGCCUAACACAUGCAAGUCGAGCGAGCGGCGGACGGGCGAGCAAUGUAUGGGGACUGCCCGAUAGAGGGGGAUAACUAAUGGAAACGGUGGCUAAUACCCAUACUAUCGGAUAAUCCAUAGGGGAUUAGCUAGUAGGUGGGGUAAAGGCUCACCUAGGCGACGAUGUCUAGCUGGUCUGAGAGGGUGAUCGGCCACACUGGGACUGAGACACGGCCCAGACUCCUACGGAGGCAGCAGUGGGGAAUAUUGCACAAUGGGCGAAAGCCUGAUGCAGCCAUGCCGCGUGUAUGAAGAAGGCCUUAGGGUUGUAAAGUACUGUCAGCGGGGAGGCGGUACCCGCAGAAAAAGCACCGGCUAACUCCGUGCCAGCAGCCGCGGUAAUUC
rnacentral:rRNA from 1 species